rnacentral:rRNA from 1 species
GGAUUGCCUCAGUAACGGCGAGUGAAGCGGCAAAAGCUCAAAUUUGAAAUCUGGCUCUUUUAGGGUCCGAGUUGUAAUUUGUAGAAGAUGUUUCGGGUGUGGCUCCGGUUUAAGUUCUUUGGAAUAUUACAUCAUAGAGGGUGAGAAUCCCGUAUGUGACCGGCAGCCUUCGCCUAUGUGAAACUCUUUCGACGAGUCGAGUUGUUUGGGAAUGCAGCUCAAAAUGGGAGGUAUAUUUCUUCUAAAGCUAAAUAUUGGCCAGAGACCGAUAGCGCACAAGUAGAGUGAUCGAAAGAUGAAAAGCACUUUGGAAAGAGAGUUAAACAGUACGUGAAAUUGUUGAAAGGGAAGCGCUUGCAACCAGACUUGCACGCAGUUGAUCAUCCGGUGUUCUCACCGGGGCACUCUGCUGCGUUCAGGCCAGCAUCGGUUUUGGUGGUUGGAUAAAGGCCUUGGGAAUGUGGCUUCCUUCGGGGAGUGUUAUAGCCCUCGGUGCAAUGCAGCCUACCGGGACCGAGGACCGCGCUUCGGCUAGGAUGCUGGCGUAAUGGUUGUAAGCGACCCGUCUUGAAACACGGACCAAGGAGUCUAACAUCUAUGCGAGUGUUUGGGUGUUAAACCCAUACGCGUAAUGAAAGUGAACGGAGGUGAGAACCCUUAAGGGUGCAUCAUCGACCGGUCCUGAUGUCUUCGGAUGGAUCUGAGUAAGAGCAUAGCUGUUGGGACCCGAAAGAUGGUGAACUAUGCGUGAAUAGGGUGAAGCCAGAGGAAACUCUGGUGGAGGCUCGCAGCGGUUCUGACGUGCAAAUCGAUCGUC